AGCGAACGCUGGCGGCAUGCUUAACACAUGCAAGUCGCACGAAGGUUUCGGCCUUAGUGGCGGACGGGUGAGUAACGCGUAGGAAUCUAUCCAUGGGUGGGGGAUAACUCUGGGAAACUGGAGCUAAUACCGCAUGAUACCUGAGGGUCAAAGGCGCAAGUCGCCUGUGGAGGAGCCUGCGUUUGAUUAGCUUGUUGGUGGGGUAAUGGCCUACCAAGGCG
rnacentral:rRNA from 1 species